UACGGAGGGUGCAAGCAUUAAUCGGAAUUAUUGGGCGUAAAGGGCGCGUAGGCGGAGAGAGAAGUCAGAGGUGAAAUCCCGGGACUCAACCCCGGAACAGCAUUUGAAACUUUCUUUCUAGAGGGUUGGCGGAGAAAACGGAAUUCCACAAGUAGCGGUGAAAUGCGUAGAUAUGUGGAAGAACACCAGUGGCGAAGGCGGUUUUCUAGCUUACACCUGACGCUGAGGCGCGAAAGCAAGGGGAUCAAACAGG
rnacentral:rRNA from 1 species